AUUGACAAAAAAACUGGUGGCGCAGUAUUCUAGUCAGUACUCAUGAUUCUGAAGACGGGCCUAAAAAUCCGUUAAAGGGCACAUCGAUGAAGUUCCUUGUGUCGGCUUGCUACGCCCAGUGGUGGGCUGGUGCUGGGAGUUAAGGCUUAGGGGCGAUCUGCAAUGGCAUGCGGGCGUUGACCCCUUUUCCGUGGAGACCCUUACUUGUGGUUGAAAAGUUAAGCUUCAGCAGCGAAAUAUUGCAGGCUGAACUUGCCACCUCGACUACGAUUGGGGAUUAAACCUGUUAUGCGGUAUUUUUUUAUGCUGUGAACAGAGUAGCCUGCCUUGAGUGAAAUUUGGUGGAUAAUGGAUCGGAUGCCUGAUGUAUUGGCCGAUAUAUUGGCAUUAUUGCUGUUUGAAACCUUUUUUGCAAAAGAGGCUAGGAAUCAUCUUGACUGUUGAGGAAAACUCCUAGACUGUUCUUUAUGUAAUUUGUUGGGGAUUAAAGUGUGGACUAAGUGGUAAUCAGGCCCCACCUGCGGUAACGCAGUGGUGAUGCGGUUAAAGGGAAACCGCUGGUUUGGCGACAUUCCAGUACGCGUUAGGGAAAUCCUGCCUGACCUAAGCCGCAAAAUUUACUCAAUGAAUUGCCACCCGUUUUUUAUAUGUC
rnacentral:sRNA from 1 species